rnacentral:rRNA from 1 species
GACGAACCGUGCGAACGUUGUUCGGAAUCACUGGGCAUAAAGGGCGCGUAGGCGGCUUAUCAAGUCAGGGGUGAAAUCCGGCAGCUCAACUGUCGAAGUGCCCUUGAUACUGACGAGCUCGAGGGAGGUAGGGGUGUGUGGAACUUCCGGUGGAGCGGUGAAAUGCGUUGAUAUCGGAAGGAACGCCGGUGGCGAAAGCGGGUCUCUGGACAGUUCCUGACGCUGAGGCACGAAGGCCAGGGGAGCAAACGGG